rnacentral:rRNA from 1 species
GAUACUUGGUGUGAAUUGCAGAAUCCCGUGAACCAUCGAGUCUUUGAACGCAAGUUGCGCCCCAAGCCUUUAGGCCGAGGGCACGCCUGCCUGGGUGUCACGC